rnacentral:rRNA from 1 species
GAUGAACGCUGGCGGCGUGCCUAAUACAUGCAAGUCGAGCGAACAGAUGAGUAGCUUGCUCCUCUGACGUUAUCGGCGGACGGGUGAGUAACACGUGGAUAACCUACCUAUAAGACUGGGAUAACUUCGGGAAACCGGAGCUAAUACCGGAUAAUAUAUUGAACCGCAUGGUUCAAUAGUGAAAGACGGUUUUGCUUUCACUUAUAGAUGGAUCCGCGCCGCAUUAGCUAGUUGUUAAGGUAACGGCUUACCAAGGCAACGAUGCGUAGCCGACCUGAGAGGGUGAUCGGCCACACUGGAACUGAGACACGGCCCAGACACCUACGGGAGGCAGCAGUAGGGAAUCUUCCGCAAUGGGCGAAAGCCGGACGGAGCAACGCCGCGGGAGUGAUGAAGGUCUUCGGAUCGUAAAACUCUGUUAUUAGGGAAGAACAAAUGUGUAAGUAACUAUGCACGUCUUGACGGUACCUAAUCAGAAAGCCACGGCUAACUACGUG